rnacentral:rRNA from 1 species
GAUGAACGCUAGCGGCAGGCUUAACACAUGCAAGUCGAGGGGUAUAAGUCUUCGGAUUUAGAGACCGGCGCACGGGUGCGUAACGCGUAUGCAAUCUACCUUUCACAAAGGGAUAGCCCAGAGAAAUUUGGAUUAAUACCUUAUAGUAUAUAUGAAUGGCAUCAUUUAUAUAUUAAAGAUUUAUCGGUGAAAGAUGAGCAUGCGUCCCAUUAGCUAGUUGGUAUGGUAACGGCAUACCAAGGCUACGAUGGGUAGGGGUCCUGAGAGGGAGAUCCCCCACACUGGUACUGAGACACGGACCAGACUCCUACGGGAGGCAGCAGUGAGGAAUAUUGGACAAUGGGCGCAAGCCUGAUCCAGCCAUGCCGCGUGCAGGAUGACGGUCCUAUGGAUUGUAAACUGCUUUUGUACAGGAAGAAACAUCUCUACGUGUAGAGACUUGACGGUACUGUAAGAAUAAGGAUCGGCUAACUCCGUGCCAGCAGCCGCGGUAAUACGGAGGAUCCAAGCGUUAUCCGGAAUCAUUGGGUUUAAAGGGUCCGUAGGCGGUCUUAUAAGUCAGUGGUGAAAUCUCCCCGCUCAACGGGGAAACGGCCAUUGAUACUGUAAGACUUGAAUUAUUAGGAAGUAACUAGAAUAUGUAGUGUAGCGGUGAAAUGCUUAGAGAUUACAUGGAAUACCAAUUGCGAAGGCAGGUUACUACUAAUGGAUUGACGCUGAUGGACGAAAGCGUGGGUAGCGAACAGGAUUAGAUACCCUGGUAGUCCACGCCGUAAACGAUGGAUACUAGCUGUUGGAAGCAAUUUCAGUGGCUAAGCGAAAGUGAUAAGUAUCCCACCUGGGGAGUACUU